CGUGCUUAACACAUGCAAGUCGAACGGUGAAGCCAAGCUUGCUUGGUGGAUCAGUGGCGAACGGGUGAGUAACACGUGAGCAACCUGCCCCGGACUCUGGGAUAAGCGCUGGAAACGGCGUCUAAUACCGGAUAUGAACCACAGCCGCAUGGUUGGUGGUUGGAAAGAUUUUUUGGUUCGGGAUGGGCUCGCGGCCUAUCAGCUUGUUGGUGAGGUAAUGGCUCACCAAGGCGUCGACGGGUAGCCGGCCUGAGAGGGUGACCGGCCACACUGGGACUGAGACACGGCCCAGACUCCUACGGGAGGCAGCAGUGGGGAAUAUUGCACAAUGGGCGGAAGCCUGAUGCAGCAACGCCGCGUGAGGGAUGACGGCCUUCGGGUUGUAAACCUCUUUUAGCAAGGAAGAAGCGAAAGUGACGGUACUUGCAGAAAAAGCGCCGGCUAACUACGUGCCAGCAGCCGCGGUAAUACGUAGGGCGCAAGCGUUAUCCGGAAUUAUUGGGCGUAAAGAGCUCGUAGGCGGUUUGUCGCGUCUGCUGUGAAAACUGGAGGCUCAACCUCCAGCCUGCAGUGGGUACGGGCAGACUAGAGUGCGGUAGGGGAGAUUGGAAUUCCUGGUGUAGCGGUGGAAUGCGCAGAUAUCAGGAGGAACACCGAUGGCGAAGGCAGAUCUCUGGGCCGUAACUGACGCUGAGGAGCGAAAGGGUGGGGAGCAAACAGGCUUAGAUACCCUGGUAGUCCACCCCGUAAACGUUGGGAACUAGUUGUG
rnacentral:rRNA from 1 species